rnacentral:sRNA from 1 species
CCCUGAUCCAAUCCCGUUCACCUGCAGACCAAUUUCUUUAACAUCGAGGACUGGACCAGAGUCCGGCCAGUCGUACGGUCAUGACCAAUCAUGUCGUUACCUACGGCAACUCCAGUGCGACGUGUGACGAAGUGUUAGAAUAUAUACAUAUAUAUAUGCGUGUAAGGAACGGUGAGGAGGAAGAGUUAGCAGAAGGAGAGAAGAAGAUGAGAGGGAGAAAGAACGGGAAAAUUGGGAUGAUAGGGGUUAGCGCAGGAGAAGAAGAAGAAGGGAGGAAGAGAGAAGGGGGGAAGGAACCGGAUCAAAAGAGGCCCUCGUCGGAAGGUCAGAAUCGGAGGAAGAGAGAGGAAAAGGGUGCCCAAGGGAUAGGAAAGAUGGGUCAGUUCGUGGACGUAAAAAAGAUAUAAAAAGCGUAGUCUUCAGAAUAGGUAAAUGCAUUGCCCCAAGCAGCGUGGUCUUCUC